GCUUUUGUAGCUCAAAGGUAGAGCAAUCGCUUGAAGCGUGAUGAGUCUGAGUUCGAGUCUCGGCAAAAGCA
rnacentral:tRNA from 1 species